CCUGCAGCCUGGUGUACAAUGGGCUCAUCAUGAAUGCCAGUGAGGACGAUGGGAACCGCUACUUCAGUGUUGCCAUGUAUGGAUUGGUGGAGCUCCCAGCCUACCCUCUCUGUAUCUAUUUCAUAAACAAGCAGUGGAAAGCUGUUGGUCAGUGCGUCAGUGUGCGUCUACACUACUGAACUGUAACCCACUGUUAUAAGGAACGCUGGUCUUGGGGUCUGCUCAAUGUCCUGCUGAGUCGGAGGGAUCCUGGACCUUUUUUGCCCUCUACGACACUUUGUUUGAAGAGGACCAAUUGAAAACGAGCCACAAACUAAAUCAGUGACUAUGAACGAGAAAACAAUCUGACAAGAGGGACUAUCGAAGCCUGUUCACACACGAGUGCUUUCUCACAUCAAAUCAGAUGUCCUCUUGUUUCCAUGGUGAAGCAAGGACAGGGCUAGCUACAUGCCCGUGAUGGAUGGUGGACCAUUUUACAGGGAACAGCACACAUGUUUUGAAUCUUUUCAUGUUAUUUUGUUUCUGUGUGGGGGUUGUGUGAUACGUUUUGUACUGUACAAUGAAAUGUGAAGUGCCUUCUAAAAUUGCUGUUUAGCAAUGUAGAUAAUGUCAAAUGGGAUUAUAAAGCAACAAUUAAUCAUGUGAUAUCAAAUGGAAGAGAAUUACAAUUACUGUCAAAGGUUCUCCGUUUCUAACAAUUUGAAGCCUGUAGUUUAAAUGGUUUGUUUCAUAAUGUUGGGUGAUUAGGCCUGGCUCGCAGUCAGAGUUUCAAUUCAUCCCAAAGGUGUUCGAUGGGGUUGAAGUCAGGGCUCUGUGCAGGUCAGUCAAGUUCUUCCACACCGAUCGCGACAAACCAUUUCAGUAUGGACCUCGCUUUGUGCACAGGGGGCAUUGUCAUGCUGGAGCAGGAAAAGGCCUUCCCCAAACUGUUGCCACAAAGUUGGAAGCACAGAAUUGUCUAGAAUGUGAUUGUAUGCUGUAGCUGCUGCUAUUUGCAUUGAGAAUACAGAUUAUGUAGUAAGUGUGUAUAUAUAUAUAUAUUCACACAGGCAGCCCAAUUCUGGUCUUUUGAACAAUCACAUCAGAUCUUUUUCAGAGCUGAUCUGAUUGGUCAAAACACCAAUUAGUGGGGAAAAAUAUUGGAAUUGGGCUGCCUGUCUAAACACAGCGAAAAUGUGAAUGGUUUGUGCAGUAUUCUAAUUCCCCCCCUCCCCCAAGUCAUUGGUUUACAUUGUGCUCCAAGGUGAUGCCAGAGCUAUAAUUGUGAUUGUUAACAUGACAGCAAGUAGUACAGUGGUGUGUAAUACGGGUAACUGCCAAAAUAUAGGGAACACCAACAUAAAGUGUCUUCAUGGGACAUGGGCCACCAAGAGCCAGAACAUCUUCAAAACACCAGUACAGGUGUCUGGAACUCAAUUGGAGGGAUGCGACAUCGUUCUUCCAUGAGAAAUUCUAUCAUUUAGUGUUUUGUUAAUGAUGGUGGAAAACGCUGUCUCAGGUGCCGCUCCAGAAUCUCCCAUUGGGAUGGUUUCUGGUUUACAUCGUUUUCAUGCUCAUCUGACCACUCGCGCCCUGUGGAUGGGGUCAUUGCCAUCCUAUUGGGGCCUAGCCAUGGUAGCCAAAAUAAUGGCCUGCCCAGCGUUUACAGUACAUGACCCUAAGCAUGAGGGGAUGUUAAUUGGUUAAUUAACCACACUUGUGUGGAAGCACCUGCUUUCUAUAUACUUUGUAUCCUUCAUGUACUCGUGUUUCCAUUCAUUUGGAAGUUACCUAUAUAUUUAUGAGAAUGACUUGAACAUGAUCAUAAAUUACACCAACCUGCACAGUGUUUAUGCCCUUCAAAAUUACGCGGUGAAACUUCUCUUCUAUUAAAGCAAAAUGUGUUACACUGUAACAGGGUGUAUUGUAAUGUUAAUGGUCACUAAUGUAUUAUUUUUUUAUUUUGAGGGGGGGGGGCAUUGUAAUGUUUUAUAGCUAUAUAAAUGAUGCUGAAUAAAAGUGAAAUAUUGAUACCAGAGGGCGCUCUAGUAACAGUCACUGCUAUUGUCAGGGGUUUGUGUCACCAUUGACGCAGACAGGAGAGGCCCAGUUCAACCAUAUCGCCCAGAAGCUGUCUCAUCAAAGACUGAGAAGUAACCGCAUAAUGCUUUUCCCCAUCAUUUAUAAUUAUGCCUUAUGGCAGAGUUGGCCCAUACCACCGGUUCAACAAGUAGUUGGAGCGAGUUGAAGAGUUUAAACUGUAAUCAUUGUUUUCAUUAUAUACCUCUGACACUGUGCUUGCCAGCACAGAAAUCCCCUUUUGAAGUAAAUAAACAGUC